AGAGUUUGAUCCUGGCUCAGGAUGAACGCUAGCGGCAGGCUUAACACAUGCAAGUCGAGGGGCAGCGCGUUGUAGCAAUACGAUGGCGGCGACCGGCGAAAGGGUGCGUAACGCGUGAGCAACCUGCCCGUAUCCGGGACAUAAGCGGUGGAAACGCCGUCUAAUUUCCCAUAACAACGAGGGCCGCAUGGUCCAUGUUUGAAAGAUGCGUCGGAUACGGAUGGGCUCGCGAGACAUUAGCUAGUCGGCGUGGUAACGGCACACCGAGGCGACGAUGUCUAGGGGUUCUGAGAGGAAGGUCCCCCACACUGGAACUGAGACACGGUCCAGACUCCUACGGGAGGCAGCAGUGGGGGAUAUUGCACAAUGGGCGAAAGCCUGAUGCAGCAACGCCGCGUGAGGGAAGACGGUUUUCGGAUUGUAAACCUCUGUCUUUGGUGAAGAAGGAAGUGACGGUAGCCAAGGAGGAAGCCACGGCUAACUACGUGCC
rnacentral:rRNA from 1 species